rnacentral:rRNA from 1 species
UGCCAGCAGCCGCGGUAAUACGGAGGGUCCGAGCGUUGUCCGGAAUUAUUGGGUUUAAAGGGUGCGUAGGCGGUUUAAUCAGUCAGGUGUGAAAGCCCGGGGCUCAACCCCGGAUGGUCACUUGAAACAGCAAGACUUGAGUACUGGAGAGGAAAGCGGAAUUCCUGGUGUAGAGGUGAAAUUCGUAGAUAUCAGGAGGAACACCGAUGGCGAAGGCAGCUUUCUGGACAGAUACUGACGCUGAGGCGCGAAGGCGUGGGUAGCGAACGGGAUUAGAUA